UCCCAUUUUCUGCCACCGAAUACAUUAGCAUGGGAUAAUGGAAUAGGACCCUGUCCUCCUAUUUUCAGUUGGUUUUGGCAGCGCGAGGACUAGGGUAAUGAUUAAUAGGGAUAGUUGGGGGCAUUAAUAUUUAAUUGUCAGAGGUGAAAUUCUUGGAUUUAUGAAAGAUUAACUUCUGCGAAAGCAUCUGCCAAGGAUGUUUUCAUUAAUCAAGAACGAAAGUUAGGGGAUCGAAGACGAUCAGAUACCGUCGUAGUCUUAACCAUAAACGAUGCCGACCAGCGAUUAGGAGACGUUGAAUACAAAACACCACCAUCGGCGCGGUCGUCCUUGGCGUCUCGGUCCUUCACGGGGCCGGGGCGCGGGGGCGGCUUAGCCCGGUGGCACCGGUGAAUGACUCCCUAGCAGCUUGUGAGAA
rnacentral:rRNA from 1 species